rnacentral:rRNA from 1 species
GACGAACGCUGGCGGCGUGCCUAAUACAUGCAAGUCGAGCGAAGUUUUUCUGGUUCUUGCUCUAGAAACACUUAGCGGCGAACGGGUGAGUAACACGUAAAGAACCUGCCUCAUAGACUGGGACAACUAUUGGAAACGAUAGCUAAUACCGGAUAACAGCAUUAACUGCAUGGUUGAUGUUUAAAAGUUGGUUUUGCUAACACUAUGAGAUGGCUUUGCGGUGCAUUAGCUAGUUGGUGGGGUAAAGGCCUACCAAGGCGACGAUGCAUAGCCGACCUGAGAGGGUGAUCGGCCACACUGGGACUGAGACACGGCCCAGACUCCUACGGGAGGCAGCAGUAGGGAAUCUUCCGCAAUGGGCGAAAGCCUGACGGAGCAACGCCGCGUGAGUGAAGAAGGACUUCGGUUCGUAAAGCUCUGUUGUUAGGGAAGAAUGAUUGUGUAGUAACUAUACACAGUAGAGACGGUACCUAAACAGAAAGCCACGGCUAACUACGUG